rnacentral:rRNA from 1 species
AAUGAACGCUGGCGGCAGGCUUAACACAUGCAAGUCGAGCGGGGUGAUGGUGCUUGCACUAUCACUUAGCGGCGGACGGGUGAGUAAUGCUUAGGAAUCUGCCUAUUAGUGGGGGACAACAUCUCGAAAGGGAUGCUAAUACCGCAUACGUCCUACGGGGGAAAGCAGGGGAUCACUUGUGACCUUGCGCUAAUAGAUGAGCCUAAGUCGGACUAGGUAGUUGGUGGGGUAAAGGCCUACCAAGGCGACGAUCUGUAGCGGGUCUGAGAGGAUGAGCCGCAACACUGGGACUGAGACACGGCCCAGACUCCUACGGGAGGCAGCGGUGGGGAAUAUUGGACAAUGGGCGGAAGACUGGUCCCGCCAUGCCGCGUGUGUGAAGAAGGCCUUUUGGUUGUAAAGCACUUUAAGCGAGGAGGAGGAGCUCUAGGUUAAUACCCUAGAAGCUUGGACGUUACUCGCAGAAUAAGCACCGGCUAACUCUGUGCCAGCAGCCGCCGUAA